ACCCCACCCCCAAAAGAAAAAAAAAAUGACCCUCUAACUACAACCGUAUCCAAUUUUGGUCAUCUGUCUCUCCUGCAAACCCUGUUCCCAACUGCUCUGAUGUGGAAAUAGAUCACAUGUGAACGUCGACUCUACGAGCAGGUGGGUGUUUGAGAACGCUUCUGGUGUCAGACGCUUGCAAGGAACCCUAACUCGUAUGAAUGGCUACCUCCUCCAUUGCAGGUGACUCUCUCUCUCUCUCUCUCUCUCUCUCUCUCUCUAGCGAUGGAUGUCUGAUUUUUUCUACAACUCUCUUCCGAAAUGUAAAUCAUUUUACUGCAACUCUCCUCCAAGAGGGAAAUCACGUCAUUGUUGCUCGAUAGUGUUAUUGGAGCUCGAUUUGGAACCCAUAAUUGUUGGAAAAGCAGCAGUGGAUGGAGACACAAUAAACACAGAUGAUGGAGUAUGUGAGUGUGUGGGUUGCACUUGAGGACAGGAGCAACAUGAUUUUUGAAGAAGAUGCAUGCUAGCUCUUUUUUUUAUUCUAAUGAUAGAGACAUUUAAUUAGUUAUUAUGAGAUCUUAAAAAAUGGUGUUGGAUGAUAUAUUUUGAGUUGAUUUUAUUUUCUUCUCUUUGGACCUUGUUUCGAAACAUGAAAUAAAUAGUUGACGUCGCCACCAGGCAUUAAAGUAUUUAAA